rnacentral:sRNA from 1 species
GCUAAGGUCAUCUGUCCCGUAGGCCCGUGGCUGGAGCAGGCCGAGGGGCAGUCUCUACCCAGGAAUGGUCCUCGUCCGAAGUGAGAAUGGGCAGUUGUUAAUGAUUCCUCAGCAGGCCUUGGCCCAGAUGCAGGCGCAGGCCCAUGCCCAGCCUCAGACCACCAUGGCGCCUCGCCCUGCCACCCCCACAAGUGCCCCUCCCGUCCAGAUCUCCACCGUACAGGCACCUGGAACACCUAUCAUUGCACGGCAGGUGACCCCAACUACCAUAAUUAAGCAAGUGU